UGUGUCUCAAAGUACAAUUCCAAGUUUGACAUUGUAGAUGUGUUUUCUGAUAUGCUUCUUGUUUGCUAUUAUUGUUAUGUUCCUAAUCGAUCAUCAACAUGACUGUAGAGAUUUCUUCCUCCUCUGCCUCUUGAUGUUGUUAGACUAAUCAACAAAAUUGAGCUAUUACCUCCUCUGUUAAGUGAAUUUCUAAGUAGUGCCUGAUAAUCAGAAAUGUGGUCAUGGCUUCUAUACUUCCUUAGGCUUUCUCCUUCUCCCUUCUCUUUUCUCUUGUUUUCUCUUUUGCCCCACCUAGACUUCUGCUCUGGCUCCAAUCGCAAAGAUGGGAAUUUGCUUCUGAUAGAACCCAGAUCCCGACCAAGAUACUUGGUGUUAUCGUCCUGGCUGCCACUAACAGGCCGGACGUCCUUGAUGCCACAUUGCUAAGGCCUGGCAGGUUCGAUCGGCAGGUCACAGUCGACUGGUCUGAUGUGGCCAGUAGAGUCAAGAUACUCUAGGUUAGCUCAAUUAACUCUGAUCAAACGCUUUUUGCCUUUUUCCAUGCUCUUCAAACCUUUCUUCUUAUUAGAAAUUUGUGAAUAUGUGAGUUGAUUGGACUGGUGUACGAGAAUAUGUGGGUUGAAAACUGAGCCUUCUGAACAACUACAAUAUAUUGAACUGAAAAUGAUGUUGAAAAGCAACAAUCAUAACUGCCCAAUCCAGGGUCAGUGACAGUGAAAUCUUUUCUUUUCUUUUUCUUUUGUUUUUGGUGAUAAAAAAAGGGAAAAGAGGGUUACAAGAGAGUCUUCUACCAACAAAGGGAAAUGAGUAGGAAGCAUGUUUGAGAUUGCAACUAUAGAGGUUCGUUGGUAGCAGAUCUGGACUCCAUAUGGACAAGUCUUAAUCACCACACAAGUGACAUAUGUUCAAGGUGGUAUCAUUGAGAACAAUAAUGGUGGUAGGGGGUGUAGAUGGGUUCUUCACUUUGGUCUAUGCUUAAUUCUUGGAUGUGUCCUGUUGAUGCAUUCAACCUAGACCUACCAAACAUAUAUAAACAAAGAAAAAAAAAUCAAAGAUCUGGUGCCGAACAAGCAAACUUCUGGUGAUGAGUCUAUAGCGGUAUAUGUGUGCAUGGCAUACAAAUUAAGGCUCAGUUUGGAAGGAGUACAAAUGUGUAUCAGAUAUGUCUGGCCUUCUAAAGCUUUUAGAAUGAUGUGGGUUGCAAAGGCACAAGUCUGUGAAUUUUGAGGUACUUAUAUCAGAUAUAGUGAAAUAAAAUUGUAAUGUGCAACUUGCUACUUAUUAGGUCAAUAUGAUUUAUGGUUUUUGUUCGUUUUGAGUUCUAAUCAUUUGUUUACUUCUGAGACAAUAUUUUUAAGUCUAUUUUCUUGAGAACUCUAUGGUUUCAAUCCAUCUUGAACUGAUUGUAUUUACAUGGCUAAUGUGGCUUUUUCUUGGAUCAAUGCAAACCCAACCUACCCGGUAUGUGGUUACUUCAGCCCUCAUAUGAAAUGCAGCAUCUGCUGCUGAUAGAGGGUAAAUUAUCUUCUGGAGAUCUUGAUAUUACUGCUUCUACCCAGUUUCUACCCAAUGAAAGUGUUCUGUCAAAUUGGAAAGUAGAAAAUCAGUACUACUACAAAAGCAUGGCAUCAGUGCAGCUUUUGCGGCAGGUUUGCCUUCAUUUUCAUAAAGAUUUCAGUCUAGAACAGGUCAAUAGGUCAGCCUCUUUCCUCAACCAUCUCGUUUUAGUACAACAGGAACAACGGUCUGUUGCAUAUGGAUUUUCUCGGCAUCUAGAAAGAUUGAGGAAAUGCAUGUUGUCUUUGAAAGAUUUAGAUUCAAAGUCAGCUGUUGUAGAUCAUGAAACUGGUUGUGACUUGGUCACCCCAAAUCAACAUGCCAUAAAUAAGUGCAUGUGGCAGCAAAAGCUACUGUUUGAUAACCUUUGUUCCAUGGCCCAUGAGGCACAUUUAUUGCUGAGAACAGUUGUGAGUACACAUUCAAAUACUUGUCCAAGUGUCAAGGUCACAGCCAACAAAGUUCUUCUUUUCAUUGAGAAGUUUAUUCCAGAUUUUCAGAAGUCAUGCCAGAAUAUGAUCCAGUUAUUAAGAUCUCUAUCAUCCCUCGUGGGCAAGUUGGUGGGCUUACAUUUUUUGCUCCAAGUGGAGAGUGGCUUGAGUCUGGGUUAUACAGCAGAAGCUACCUGGAGAACCAAAUGGCUGUAGCACUUGGUGGAAAGUUUGUCAUAGACCCAUCUUUCUUAUCAUUCCAUUAAAUCAAAGGAAGAGUUGGUUUGUGAAUCUUAGUGCAAUAAAUAACCUGUGGAGAUCAUCAUCAUCUGCAUUUGGUAAAGAAUUCAUAAACAGACAUUCAGAUGAUUCCUAACUAAAUAAUCCACUGCUGAACCAAGUCAAUGAACCAUAUGGUAAAUUGUCAAGAAAUAACAUUCAAUGUAGCUCUACAAGUUAGAGGUGGUGAUUUUGUAACCAUUCUGAUUCCAAUUCCACCUGUCAACCAAAUGGACCCUUAAAGACAUCCAUCUUCACUUGUUCUUUGGAAAUGACAAAUGGUCCAUGGGUGGAGGGAGUUAGCUUAGCCUUAGUUUUUAAUGGAAGAUGGAGGAGGAAGAUUCCCACUAUGCUAGAGCAAUCUCCAAGGGGCUUUACCCAAUGUUGGUCCUUGCUAUUUGGGGUCUGGGAAGGACACGACUGGAUGAAGAAAAGGAUCCAUUGCCCUGAAUUUGUUAUAGAGCAACCUCUGUUCUAAUAAAAAGAUGAAUAAUUUCUAUUCUCUUUAAAGAUUGAAGAUGAAAAUCCUGUUGAAAAGGUACUUGUUAUGACAGUGGAACCUGGAUUUGGUGGUCAAACGUUCAUGCCAGAAAUGAUGGAUAAGGUGCGUGCAUUGGAAAGUCUCUCACACAUGGUUGUGUAGGUGGAUGGUUGCUUGGGACCUUCAACCAUUGAUGUGGCAGCUUCAGCAGGGGCAAACUGUAUUGUGGCAGGAAGUUCAGUUUUUGGAGCUGCG